UUACCUCCCAAUCAAAGAAUGUAAAAAAUAACAUAGACAUUUCAGCACAUCAAACAAUUAUGAGUUGCAGUUUUAAAAAAAUACAUGAUGGAUCAUUGCAUACAGCUGCGAUCACAAAGGUACACUAUGUUUUCAAAAAAAAUGUAGACUACUACUCUUACUGUCUAUAACUAAUUCAAUUAUGAGUCGAUAAGAAAGCAACCAUCCUUGUGGAUACCUUUAUGUGCUUCGAGUGAUCCUGUGAGCAUCUGCUAAUACUCCUUAACAUGAACCUCAGUUGGCAUAGUCAUCGUCUCUGUCUUGCUGGAAUCAAAUCCUCUACCCAAAAGCUACAAACUGAAAUAAUGGCAAUAGCGAAUCCAUCUUGAUGGUCUCACAACCUUUCACCCACCGAUAUGCACAUGCAUGGCAUUCCAGUAACCAAGCAAACUCAACCACACCAUCCAUAUAAUAUCCAUCUUCGAAAAAUUCACAGCACACUAAAACCUAGUUGAUUUAUACUCAUUAACUUAACGGGAUAUGAGCAUUAGGUUCUAGUAGAGUAAAUAUGCUAUUGAUGAAUGCAGUAAUUAUGCAGUUCGUAUCAGGGCAACACUAUUUCGGCAAAACAUAAGUUUGUGGCCGACUUGCCACCUCGCACCGAGUUCCUUGUAGGCUUGUAGCAAAAGUUUUUACAGCAUCUCUCUUAGCAACACACAGCUGCUUGAAGAUCUACUCCAAUGGGUGAGCUAGCUGACAAUGUUGAAUUAAUAACAGGUCUAAAUAUGUUUAUAAGAUAGUUGUUGCUAACUAUAUAUUUUCUAUAGUAGGAUGCCAAUAUGAGCAUUCAUUCACAUAUUGCAGGGUAAGUAUAUGGGUCUGGAAAACAUAAGAUGAUAUUCUAUUUCAAUAUUAUACAUUUGCAAGAAUAUAUAGUAUGCAUUGGCAUCCUCUUGGGCAUGCAUGGCUACAUGUGCAUCCGUGUUGCUAUAAGGUAUACUACCUUUCAGUUUUGCUUUUCAAUAACCCAGCAAGAGCAGGCAGAAGGCUUGAGAAAAUAGCUAGGUUGAAAAUACAAAGUUUCCCCUUGAGAGUACUAAAAACAUCAUCUUGAACAUGUUCGAAUUAAACAAUUACACACAACAAUUCAUGUUUUUUGUGGAACUGAAGCGACAAAUUGAGACAAUCAAAAUCUUACUUAAUGAACAAGCCGAGCAAGAAGGAUACCUCAGGGGAAACCACUUGUGUACUCUCAAGCCGAGCAAGGAGGAGACCUCAGGGGCUACCACAUGUGUACUCUGAACGGGCAAUAAUGACCAUCUUCAUUACAUAUCACAUCCAGCAUACCCUCAAUUCGACUAAUAUAGAUUACUUGUUUAAUCUGCAAAAAGAAAAGCUAACAGGGAUAAGUCACAUGCAUGUACACUGAUUACGGGCGAUUAAACAAAGCAAGCACUGUAAUCCCCUCUUCCUCCUGAUCUAUUUCCCUCCCACUUCCCCUCUUCUUUCCCAAACCAGUGGCUACAUGUGGAUGGAAAUAUGCAACUCUUUGCUCUCUUUUGCCAUCUUUGCAUUCCUUAUUCAUGUUUGGACAACUAUCUUUUAAUUUAUCAUGUGAGUAUCCUUUCUUCGCAGAUGAAGAUAUCAUAUAUUGUUAUAUUGUUAUCCAAUAUGGUUUAAUCUGCAAAAAGAAAAGCUAACAGGGGCAAGUCACAUGCAUGUACACUGAUUACAAGCGACUGAACCAAGCAAGCACUGUAAACAAAUAAUCUGCACUAUAAACCUUCUGGUCCGAGUUUCAAGGUCACCACAAAGCAAGCACUGUAAACAAAUAAUCUACACUGAUUGCACAGAUGUCUCCUUCAUGGAUUUUUGCAAGGCGGCGGAACUCGGACCAGUUGGUUGUUACGGUGGCUCUCUUGUUGGUUCCUAGCAUGAUGCAACAAUUGGCGUGUAGAUCACUGUUUGCAAGCCUGAGUGGCUCCGACGGUGAUCACAAUACGUAAAUAAGCACUUAUUCGGCUUUUGCGCUAUCAUCACGUGGUUAUGUAACACCAAUCAUGAUUGGUGCAAAAAUAGUAAAUACACUUUCGAUUAGUAUCAUGGAUAGUAAACAGAUAUUGCAAACGAGGUAUAGCAUGCGCAAAUAUGGAAUUUAAUUUACAUGGUAGAACAGGGCCCUCUCUGCCAUUUAACUCAAAAGUGCUUAUGUUUAAUUAUGAUUUCAGUUUAGCGUGGCUUAAACUCCUCCCAGUUGACUCAUUCAAUAUUCAGCAUGGGUGAUCACGGGUGAUCAAAAGGACUAAAUUAAAUUAAACCCUACACUGGAAACACGUGUAUCACCCGUACAUGGUAGAAAAUGUCCUCAUCGUCAUUUACCUAAAAUUAGAUUAUGUCGACUUGUGGUUUCACCAUUUCAGUUCAAAAUAGCAUACUCUCGUAGGAGAUCAAAAUUGAAUGGAACUCUAUAUUGGAAAAACAUCAAUAAAAGAGAGCCCGUCUAGAGCAAGUACACAAAGAAACUAUUACCAAUUUAGUACUUAGAACUUCCUCAAUAUAAUUUAUACUCAAAGAAGAAGGUACCGUUAAUAGUUCAAUGUGCAACAAAGAAAUGUAAUGAUGUCAUGAACAAUGUAGUUUUCUGUAUGUAUACAGAACUAAGAAAUUCAGAUUCAUACCUUCUACCAUUUUGUCAGCACGGUUGGCUCCUCGAGCAAAAGAAAUGGAUAACAGACAUGAUAAAAGAGGAACUUGUGCUUCUCGCAGCAUAAUAUAGCAUUAUUCUGGAAGCUUUGUGAGCAUUCUUUCUAGCGGUAGUAAGCGUACGAACUUGGCGCCAAACAUAAGACAUGCACAC
rnacentral:lncRNA from 1 species